UUUGAUCCUGGGUUCCAGGACGAACCGCUGGGGGGCGUGCUUAACCACCAUGCAAAGUGGAACGGAAAGGCCCCAGCUUGUUGGGGGUACUGGAGUGGCGAACGGGUGAGUAAACACGUGGGUGAUUUGCCCUGCACUUCGGGAUAAGCCUGGGAAAACUUGGGUCUAAUACGGGAUAGGACCCUCCUUUAGUGUGGGGGGUGGAAAGAUUUUUCGGUGUGGGAUGAGCCCGCGGCCUAUCAGCUUGUUGGUGGGGUAAUGGCCUACCAAGGCGUCGACGGGUAGCCGGCCUGAGAGGGUGGACGGCCACAUUGGGACUGAGAUACGGCCCAGACUCCUACGGGAGGCAGCAGUGGGGAAUAUUGCACAAUGGGCGGAAGCCUGAUGCAGCGACGCCGCGUGGGGGAUGACGGCCUUCGGGUUGUAAACCUCUUUCGACAGGGACGAAGCCUUGUAGGUGACGGUACCUGUAUAAGAAGCACCGGCUAACUACGUGCCAGCAGCCGCGGUAAUACGUAGGGUGCGAGCGUUGUCCGGAAUUACUGGGCGUAAAGAGCUCGUAGGUGGUUUGUCGCGUCGUCUGUGAAAUUCCGGGGCUUAACCUCGGGCGUGCAGGCGAUACGGGCAAUACUUGAGUGCUGUAGGGGAGACUGGAAUUCCUGGUGUAGCGGUGAAAUGCGCAGAUAUCAGGAGGAACACCGAUGGCGAAGGCAGGUCUCUGGGCAGUAACUGACGCUGAGGAGCGAAAGCAUGGGUAGCGAACAGGAUUAGAUACCCUGGUAGUCCAUGCCGUAAACGGUGGGCGCUAGGUGUAGGGGUCUUCCACGACUUCUGUGCCGUAGCUAACGCAUAAGCNGCCC
rnacentral:rRNA from 1 species